rnacentral:rRNA from 1 species
AGAGUUUGAUCCUGGCUCAGGAUUAACGCUGGCGGCGCACAUAAGACAUGCAAGUCGAACGGAAGUCGUUAUAACUCAGAACGAAGAUUUAUCUGAGGGACGAGAUAUAACAAUGGCUUUAGUGGCGGACUGGUGAGUAACACGUAAGAAACCUGCCUAUUAGAGGGGAAUAACAACGAGAAAUCGUUGCUAAUACCGCAUAAGCUAGUAGUACCGCAUGGUACAGCUAGAAAAGGAGAAAUCCGCUAAUAGAUGGUCUUGCGUCCGAUUAGCUUGUUGGUGGGGUAACGGCCUACCAAGGCAACGAUCGGUAGCCGAGCUGAGAGGCUCAACGGCCACAUUGGGACUGAGAUACGGCCCAGACUCCUACGGGAGGCAGCAGUCGGGAAUAUUGCGCAAUGGAGGAAACUCUGACGCAGUGACGCCGCGUAUAGGAAGAAGGUUUUCGGAUUGUAAACUAUUUUAGACAGGGAAGAAAUUGACAGUACCUGUAGAAUAAGCUCCGGCUAACUACGUGCCAGCAGCCGCGGUAAUACGUAGGGAGCAAGCGUUAUCCGGAUUUACUGGGUGUAAAGGGCGAGUAGGCGGAUUGGCAAGUUGGGAGUGAAAUGUCGGGGCUUAACCCCGGAACUGCUUCCAAAACUGUUGAUCUUGAGUGAUGGAGAGGCAGGCGGAAUUCCCAGUGUAGCGGUGAAAUGCGUAGAUAUUGGGAGGAACACCAGUGGCGAAGGCGCCUUUCUGGACUGUGUCUGACGCUGAGAUGCGAAAGCCAGGGUAGCGAACGGGAUUAGAUACCCCGGUAGUCCUGGCCGUAAACGAUGGGUACUAGGUGUAGGAGGUAUCGACCCCUUCUGUGCCGGAGUUAACGCAAUAAGUACCCCGCCUGGGGAGUACGUCCGCAAGGAUGAAACUUAAAGGAAUUGGCGGGGGAGCCCCGCAACGGGAGGAGCGUGCGGUUUAAUUGGAUUCAACACCGGAAAACUCACCAAGGGCGACCAUUACAUGAAAGCCAGGCUAAUGACCUUGCUAGAUUUUUGGAGAGGUGGUGCAUGGCCGUCGUCAGUUCGUACCGUAAGGCGUUCUCUUAAGUGAGAUAACGAACGAGACCCUCACUGAUAAUUGCUAAUCUAUUCUCCGGAGUAGAUGCACAUUAUUGGGACCGCUGACGCUAAGUCAGAGGAAGGAGAGGUCAACGGUAGGUCAGUAUGCCCCGAAUCUCUUGGGCUACACGCGCGCUACAAAGGGCGGGACAAUGGGCUCCGACGCCGAGAGGCGAAGGUAAUCUCGAAACCCGUCCAUAGUUCGGACUGAGGGUUGUAACUCACCCUCACGAAGCUGGAUUCCGUAGUAAUCGCGAAUCAACAACUCGCGGUGAAUAUGCCCCUGCUCCUUGCACACACCGCCCGUCAAACCAUCCGAGUUGGGUUUCAGUGAGGUGGCCUUUAAUUGGGGUCUUCAAACUGAGAUUUAGCAAGGAAGGUUAAGUCGUAACAAGGUAUCUGUA